rnacentral:lncRNA from 1 species
UUGGACUCCUACUUGUUUUUGAUCAAGUCCUCCCAACCCCUUAAAUCUAAAUUAUAUGACCACCUUGUUUACACAAUUCUGCCAUCACUUUGAUCAAGCCAAGUUCCCUGUCUUGCUUUGGAUCAAGUCCAAACCAGCCCAAAACAUCCAUCUUUCUCUCCCACCUCAUGCACAAUUCUCUACUUCUCUUUUAUGUAAAAAGGAAAAUAGAAGCCCUCCUCACAUCUAUGUGUCGUCAUCCCCUUGGGCAGCACCUGAUCUUUUCCUACAUGCACAAACUUCGUCAACUAAUUCCUCCUUAAUUCCUCCUUUUCAAUUCACUAAUAAUCUUAUUGACUGCAUGUGGAAAGCACCAUGCAUGGACAGUUAACUUUUGCAGCUACACCAACACUUCCUCUCUUCUCCAUGCAAAGAUAAUUCCUCUAUUAAUUUCCUUGACUCCAUCAAGUAUAUCUUUAUCCCAUCUCACCAGUUGUAUGUAAUGGCAGCCGUGAAUCUCUUCCUCUUUUCCUCAUGACACCUAUCCUUCAUGUAAAAUAACAGCAGCAUUUAACUCUUUAUCCCCUUGAUUACUUUGUCUCUUUCAUAUGGAGAAAUCACCCUUCUCAUCUCUAUGGCGACUGCUCAAUAAUUCUUUCUUUUUAUUUUUUUAGACACACUUCACUCCUUCAUUUGUUUUCCUUUACUUCCAAUGGCAUGCAGCCAUCUAUGCUCUGGCUACCCCCACGUUUACUCCUUUUUCUCUCAUGCAAGAGAACAACAACAACUAAUUCUUCCCCUUAAAUUACAAUGGUAACACCUUUGUUUAAUCCUCUCCUUUGAGUAUCUUUUAUCUCAUCAGUGUGCAUGCAACAGGUAGCCAUACAUCUUCUCUUCCUCCUCCCUUACUGCCAAGGGCGCCUCUCCCUUCUCCUCCUGCUCAAUAUUAAUGUGCACCCAUUCAUUCUUCUAUUGACUCACCUCUAUUAUUUCAAUUGCUUUACUCCAUUGUUUCAUUUGCAUGCAUGCAGAAAAUUACAACCAGCAAUAUCUCCUCCCCCUUGCUCACAUGAGCAGGUCAUCACUUCUCCUCCCAAUGGCGCAUCUUCCUUUUCUCUCAUGCAGAAAACUGCAGCAAAUGUUCCCACUUAAUUCCCUUUACAAGCCCCUCUUAUUCUCCAAUGCAACUCUCUAAUUGCAUGAGUAAUGAAGGGCUCAUGAAACAGCCAUGCAUCACCCUUUCUCCCUUAUUUCUUUUAUGCUCGACACACACACAGGAGCUGCCACUCUCUUCCCAUGCAAAACAACUACUACAAAUAAUGCUCUCCUUUGAUUCCCAUGAGACACACACCUGAUUUCAAUAGCACCUAUUUAGUCCAUGGGUUUUACUCUCUUCAUUUGCAUGCAUCCAUGCAGGAAAUAGCAGCCAUAUAUUUUCCCUCUUCCUCUCUUUCUCAUGCACAACAACAGCUUUAUUUCCUCCUCCAUUUCUCCUUCACGCACACUGCAGAUGGACAGCCCCUCUUCCCCUCUCCUAUGCCACCAUUGUCUCACUCUCAUGCAGAAAUAAAAAGGCAAUACAUAAUGCUCUUCCUUAAUCACCUAGCCUCUCUUGACUCCUGUUCAAUUGCAUGCAUACAUUCACAGCCAUAUCUCCUCUCUUUUCCCACGCACAACCAGCAAGACCCCUCUUCAAAACCCUCUUGAUAGCACAUAUUUUUUUUCACUGCCUUUUUAUUUCACUUCAAUGGCAGGACACAGCAGCGCANNNNNNNNNNNNNNNNNNNNNNNNNNNNNNNNNNNNNNNNNNNNNNNNNNNNNNNNNNNNNNNNNNNNNNNNNNNNNNNNNNNNNNNNNNNNNNNNNNNNCAGCUAUAAAACCCCUCAUCUCCUCCCCUCCUCAUCCCUCGCGCACACAGCAGAUGGGCAGCCUCUCUCCCCCCUCUCACGCCACCUCUUCCACCUGCUGUUGCUCCUCAAAAACAGCAGCAAACAUCUCCUCUCCUCGUGCUCCAUGCAGAUCAGAUGUUUUUCCUCCCACCUUCUUAUCUGUCAUGGAUGCUUGAACGACUCCACUCCCACCUCCAUGGACGUCCCUCCUCCUCUUCCUCCCUCCCUUUUCUUUCCAUGAAAAUGCAGCCCCCAUACAGCAGCGAUUCCAUUUUGCCAUUGCAAUUCCAAACCGAGCAAUGGAUCAUGAUUUGGACUGGCUACCAAUCUCAUCUGCUGCAGUAAGUUGAUCGUCCCUUAUUUCCCUCUCUCUGUGUGUUUCGUCUUCUGUUGCUUAUCUCUCUCUUGAUGUCCCCAUGUAUUGCAGGACAUCCCUAAAUCGAUCCCUAGCUGCUGCAUUUCAUUUCGCCACUGCACCCCUCAUCCCAAAGCCUGAACAUGUCGAUGAUGUUGUUGCCAUCCCCCUCUGGACCAAGCAUGUGGGCUGCAACUCAUGGUGAGGUCGACCCUGCAAUUUCCCUCAUUGAUCUUGCUGCUCUUGUAUACCAUGUCUAUUUCUAUGAUCUAUCAUAUGGUGUAGAUUAUCACCAAAGUGGAAUUGGAGAUGUCCUGUUGAUCGCAGACCUAAUCGUCUCCCCCAUCAUCGAUGAAGGCUGCCGCUAAAUUCAUCUCGAACUAUAGCUAACCCCAAUGUGAGGACCCCCAUCAUAAUCUCUAUUUUGUAUACAUGUUCCUUGCUGUAAAUUGUGGACCACCAUUCCUGUAAGAUCAUGUUUUGGUGAGGUUUGCUAGGGAUACUCUAUGCUGUCCCUCUGUCCAAAAACUUUGCUGCCCGUUACCGUUCACAUUCCUAGUGAUCCAGGCCUCCGGUCAUUAAACCCUUUGACCACAAUAUAACUCUUGAUGUUGUACACACCUCCCCAAAUCAGUUUGGUCAUAGGACCAACAAUGCCGGAGUUAUUGAUAUCGUUGUGCUUGCUGCCCCUGCAUCUUUGCAGCAGCACCAUUACUAAUUGGCAUGCAUGUUCCAGGCAAUACACCAUUCCGUUUGUAAAAUUCCGUUGAACCACAUGUGUUCCAUAUCCUUGAGAAUAUCUCAGCAAAAUUUCAUGACCAUAGAGCUCAAUACGAAAGAGUUAUAAAUUUUCUUGUGCACGAUAUCUCUGCUGUCCAUAAGCAGAGUUCCUGCCGGUUGACAUGCGUAUUCUCGAUGUUCCAUCAUUCCUGUGACUGUGUCCUUUGACCACAAUGUGUCUUAUAUUGUUGCACACAUCUCUGAGAAAUUCCAUGACCAUAGGAUUCAAGAUAAAAGAGAAAUGUUUCUAUCUUGUGCUUGCUGUCCCUGCUGUCCCGCAGCUACGUUGAGACCAGUUGGCAUGUGUGUUCUCGAUGAAUCGCCACUCUAAUGGUCAUGCCCUUUGAUCAUGAUGUAUAUCAAAUAUUUACACACUUCUCUGCAAGUUUUCUUGGUCAUGUGUGCCACAAUGCCCAAAAUAUAAGCAUCAUCGUGUCGCUGCUCCUGUCAUGCCAACAGCCAUGCAGUAACAUCUUGCAAUCUCGUUCCCCGGCUAUCCGAUAGUCAAAACAUCAUGUUCUUUUGCCAUAACAUACUCCAUACAGUCCACAACAAGCCCACAAAAAAGAUCUCAAUUUGGUGCUGCUAAGACCAUGUUCCUUGUAAUCAUAACCACCACUGUCCGCCACUGGGUUUGCUCAACCGGUGUGCAAAUCGUCAUCAUCGUGCUUCCCUUUUAUGUAACAUUUCAUCAGUGCAGCCACUAGUCAUAAUAUGUUCCAUAUAUCCUCUUCACAAAUUUAUAGUCAUCAACAAAUUAUCUAUAGAUCCUUGUGCUCCAUAAAUCUUCCAGCCAUGUUCAUCAUGUUUAUUCAUUCCUAUCAUUUAUCAAACCUUCCAACUUCUACCUUUGAACUUCCAUGCCUCUUUAAACCAUAGAUUUGUUUAGUUGUUUUUACGCUCAAACAUUCGUAGUUGCAAGUUCUACGUGUUUAAAACCUUUUAUCAUAUUUUGUAAUGCUUGAUGUAUUGUUUUUAGGUUUCUUUUAUGGUGCUUGUACCGGUUGAUUGCUAACGUUAGAAGAGGAGCUCUACAAGGAUGAUCAAGAAGUUGGAACUUGCAUACCAAGCAAUUGGAAGGCAAGUGUAACAUGAGUUCCCUUGUUACCCAAUAACCAUUUAAUCACCUUUUUAUAUGCAUGUGUCUAAAAUGACGAACCUAUAAGGACUAUACAUAGAACCUUUGUUAACUUGUAUUCCUUGUUACCUUUGGGUUAUGCAUAUGGUUAGUUUGGCUUAGCUUGCAAUCACCCAACUAUAUAAAGUUAAUCUUGACUAAUGGAUUAUGGAAUCAAUAUAUAAUGAUGAUUUCUACCAACAUGGAUAUAAGGGGCUAGAGCAUUGGGCCUUGGGUGCUCUAGUCUGCCCUCCGUAAGGACUGAAUCUUAAAGCGGCAACCCAGGACUUACAAUACAACCAUGAGAAUCACAUGGCUCUGAUCUUAAUCAAGUAUCUAGUACGUCUCUAGCUUGUUAGUGGUGACUGAAAGGCGCAAGAGGGGGGUGCCUCGUGGUGUAUAGUUUUGCUCCUACCUUGGUGUGUACAGUGCCGCGACCACAUGUGCCUCUUGGAGGAGGUCCCUAUGCACACUUGCCGCUGAAACCUCGCGGUCACUAACUAGUUAGGGUGUCUAGUGAAAGGUUACGUAGUGAUCCCUGCCGACUUACCUUGGAAGUGAGUCAAGAGGUUGGCCCCCUCAGGCAAAGGGCAAUCACGACUCAUGGGUAAAGAUGUACAUACUCUGUAGAGUUAUAAAAACUGAUAUAUCAGUCGUGCUCUCGGUCAAGGGCGGCCUGGAUCCUUUUCGAGAUAGAUGGUUCUAUGGAUGGUUUGGGUGAUGAUUAAUCUUGAUAUUAAUUACACUUUCACCUUGGGAGCUUAAGCAUAACCUAGCAACAUAGGUCUAAUAAUAAAAUAUGACCAACUAAAAAUGCUUAUCGCAGUCAAACCAAGUCAAGCCUUUUGAGCCUUGCAUCCCCUCAUGUUAUACUUGUUGAGUAUGGUGCGCUCACACUUACAUUCAACAAUCAAAAAUCCCGGAUGGGUACCAGAUGGUGAUACAAAGGCGGAGUUUCCUGAGAUGUUCUAGGAGUACUAGGCGAGUGUACCCCCAGUCAACCAUCCCUGUGGAAAAUGGAGACCCAAAGUGAAGAUUAGGAUUAGUUUCCGCUAUGCUUUGUAAUAGAUGUAAGCCAUGUUGUAACUAUGUUCCGAUAUAAUAAAGCAUUGUUCUUGAUAUUCUCCAUAUUUGUCGCUAUAUGUGUCGUGUGGACAUCCUGGGCACACAUAUAGUUAGCGCUUGGUCUUCUUUGGAAAACCGGGUGCGACAGAUUGGUAUCAAAGCAAUGUUGACUGUAGGACGCUCUGCCUAGAUAGAAAUGGUCGCUUUUACAAACUUAUUUUGAUGAAAACUUAUCUUGUCUUCCUCCACCUUGGUAUUUUCUAAAAGAAAAACAAAACUUUUUCCUGAAACACCUCGUUCCUCCAAGAUCCAUGAUGAUGCGUCAGAUGUGUUGAAGAUUCUGCAUCAACAAUAAGCAUCACCAUGGAGGUUCAAGAGUUCAAGCAUGUUUACCCUAAUGCCUUUAGGAUGUUGUUAUCCCCGAGCGCUUUUACGUUAGCAAUGAUGCUAAGGUGAGUGAUAGUAUGCUUUCAUAAGGACCCUAUCAUGUUAGUGUGCCAUAGCUUGGUUGAUUGUUUUGUCAUGAUGAACUGGUAUGAUUUGGCUCUUUGUAAUGAGUGUAGCUUCAGUGAAUCUCGGGGCGAGAUUCCUCUUAAGGGGGGUAGAGUUGUCACACCCCAAAAUUCUAACUUUGGGAUAUGACUUAGAAAACACUAAAAACAAAGACAAAGAAUUUUUUUUUUUAAAAUGUUCCAACUUUAUUUAUGUUGACAACAUUUUAGAUAGUGAAAAAUGUGGGUUUCUAAAAUUUUUGUAAAUCAACUUAAUGGUUUGUUGCAUUCAUGCCGUUGCAUAGUGUUUAUGCUUGAAAAAUAAAUUUUGUUUGUUUUCAAGAUAUGCCUUGGGUUUAUCCCAACUUCAUCUUUCCAAACAUCAAACCAAUAUCUAAAAGUUCUAAUCAAAUCUUUUGUCCACAAACUAAAUCCCUAGCCUAACCCUCUCCCUCUCCCUCUCUCGCUUUCCUCUUCCUUUUUUGGACUCCUACUUGUUUUUGAUCAAGUCCUCCCAACCCCUUAAAUCUAAAUUAUAUGACCACCUUGUUUACACAAUUCUGCCAUCACUUUGAUCAAGCCAAGUUCCCUGUCUUGCUUUGGAUCAAGUCCAAACCAGCCCAAAACAUCCAUCUUUCUCUCCCACCUCAUGCACAAUUCUCUACUUCUCUUUUAUGUAAAAAGGAAAAUAGAAGCCCUCCUCACAUCUAUGUGUCGUCAUCCCCUUGGGCAGCACCUGAUCUUUUCCUACAUGCACAAAAUUCGUCAACUAAUUCCUCAAUUCCUCCUUUUCAAUUCACUAAUAAUCUUAUUGACUGCAUGUGGAAAGCACCAUGCAUGGACAGUUAACUUUUGCAGCUACACCAACACUUCCUCUCUUCUCCAUGCAAAGAUAAUUCCUCUAUUAAUUUCCUUGACUCCAUCAAGUAUAUCUUUAUCCCAUCUCAUCAGUUGUAUGUAAUGGCAGCCGUGAAUCUCUUUCUCUUUUCCUCAUGGCACCUAUCCUUCAUGUAAAAUAACAGCAGCAUUUAACUCUUUAUCCCCUUGAUUACUUUGUCUCUUUCAUGUGGAGAAAUCACCCUUCUGAUCUCUAUGGCGACUGCUCAAUAAUUCUUUCUUUUUAUUUUUUUUAGACACACUUCACUCCUUCAUUUGUUUUCCUUUACUUCCAAUGGCAUGCAGCCAUCUAUGCUCUGGCUACCCCGACGUUUACUCCUUUUUCUCUCAUGCAAGAGAACAACAACAACUAAUUCUUCCCCUUAAAUUACAAUGGUAACACCUUUGUUUAAUCCUCUCCUUUGAGUAUCCUUUAUCUCAUCAGUGUGCAUGCAACAGGUAGCCAUACAUCUUCUCUUCCUCCUCCCUUACUGCCAAGGGCGCCUCUCCCUUCUCCUCCUGCUCAAUAUUAAUGUGCACCCAUUCAUUCUUCUAUUGACUCACCUCUAUUAUUUCUAUUGCUUUACUCCAUUGUUUCAUUUGCAUGCAUGCAGAAAAUUACAACCAGCAAUAUCUCCUCCCCCUUGCUCGCAUGAGCAGGUCAUCACUUCUCCCAAUGGCGCAUCUUCCUUAUCUCUCAUGCAGAAAACUUCAGCAAAUGUUCCCACUUAAUUCCCUUUACAAGCCCCUCUUAUUCUCCAAUGCAACUCUCUAAUUGCAUGAGUAAUGAAGGGCUCAUGAAACAGCCAUGCAUCAACCUUCCUCCCUUAUUUCUUUUAUGCUCGACACACAAACAGGAGCUGCCACUCUCUUCCCAUGCAAAACAACUACUACAAAUAAUGCUCUCCUUUGAUUCCUAUGAGACACACACCUGAUUUCAAUAGCACCUAUUUAGUCCAUGGGUUUUACUCUCUUCAUUUGCAUGCAUCCAUGCAGGAAAUAGCAGCCAUAUAUUUUCCCUCUUCCUCUCUUUCUCAUGCACAACAACAGCUUUAUUUCCUCCUCCAUUUCUCCUUCACGCACACUGCAGAUAGACAGCCCCUCUUCCCCUCUCCUAUGCCACCAUUGUCUCACUCUCAUGCAGAAAUAAAAAGGCAAUACAUAAUGCUCUUCCUUAAUCACCUAGCCUCUCUUGACUCCUCUUCAAUUGCAUGCAUACAUUCACAGCCAUAUCUCCUCUCUUUUCCCACGCACAACCAGCAAGACCCCUCUUCGAAACCCUCUUGAUAGCACAUAUUUUUUUUCACUGCCUUUUUAUUUCACUUCAAUGGCAUGGACACAUGCAGCUGCAGCAGCUAUAAAACCCCUCAUCUCCUCGCCUCCUCAUCCCUCGCGCAAACAGUAGAUGUGCAGCCUCUCUCCCCCCUCUCACGCCACCUCUUCCACCUGCUGUUGCUCCACAAAAACAGCAGCAAACAUCUCCUCUCCUCGUGCUCCAUGCAGAUCAGAUGUUUUCCCUCCCACCUUCUUAUCUGUCAUGGAUGCCUCAACUACUCCACUCCCACCUCCAUGGACGUCCCUCCUCCUCUUCCUCCCUCCCUUUUCUUUGCAUGAAAAUGCAGCCCCCAUACAGCAGCGAUUCCAUUUUGCCAUUGGAAUUCCAAACCGUGCAAUGGAUCAUGAUUUGGACUGGCUACCAAUCUCAUCUGCUGCAGUAAGUUGAUCGUCCCUUAUUUCCCUCUCUCUGUGUGUUUCGUCUUCUGUUGCUUAUCUCUCUCUUGAUGUCCCCAUGUAUUGC